rnacentral:pre_miRNA from 1 species
UGUUCGGGGAGACAUGGGAGCCCACGGGCCGAGGAGCAAGACACCAAGAGAUCUCGACGCCACAUCUUAACCCAAAACCUUAAGGCAUUAGGUUUAUGGGUCACAUCUCUUAUAAACCUAAUGCCUUAAGGUUUUGGGUUAAGAUGUGGCGUUGAUAUCUCUUGGUGUCUUGCUCCUCGGCUCAUGGGCUCCCCUGUCUCCCCCAACA